rnacentral:rRNA from 1 species
CCUACGGGAGGCAGCAGUGGGGAAUUUUGGACAAUGGGCGCAAGCCUGAUCCAGCAAUGCCGCGUGCAGGAUGAAGGCCUUCGGGUCGUAAACUGCUUUUGUACGGAACGAAACGGCUCUUUCUAAUAAAGAGAGCUAAUGACGGUACCGUAAGAAUAAGCACCGGCUAACUACGUGCCAGCAGCCGCGGUAAUACGUAGGGUGCGAGCGUUAAUCGGAAUUACUGGGCGUAAAGCGUGCGCAGGCGGUUAUAUAAGACAGAUGUGAAAUCCCCGGGCUCAACCUGGGACCUGCAUUUGUGACUGUAUAGCUAGAGUACGGUAGAGGGGGAUGGAAUUCCGCGUGUAGCAGUGAAAUGCGUAGAUAUGCGGAGGAACACCGAUGGCGAAGGCAAUCCCCUGGACCUGUACUGACGCCCAUGCACGAAAGCGUGGGGAGCAAACAGGAUUAGAUACCCUGGUAGUCCACGCCCUAAACGAUGUCAACUGGUUGUUGGGUCUUCACUGACUCAGUAACGAAGCUAACGCGUGAAGUUGACCGCCUGGGGAGUACGGCCGCAAGGUUGAAACGUCAAAUGAAUUGACGG